rnacentral:rRNA from 1 species
CUGCGGAGGGAUCAUUACACAAAUAUGAAGGCGGGCUGGAACCUCUCGGGGUUACAGCCUUGCUGAAUUAUUCACCCUUGUCUUUUGCGUACUUCUUGUUUCCUUGGUGGGUUCGCCCACCACUAGGACAAACAUAAACCUUUUGUAAUUGCAAUCAGCGUCAGUAACAAAUUAAUAAUUACAACUUUCAACAACGGAUCUCUUGGUUCUGGCAUCGAUGAAGAACGCAGCGAAAUGCGAUAAGUAGUGUGAAUUGCAGAAUUCAGUGAAUCAUCGAAUCUUUGAACGCACAUUGCGCCCUUUGGUAUUCCAAAGGGCAUGCCUGUUCGAGCGUCAUUUGUACCCUCAAGCUUUGCUUGGUGUUGGGCGUCUUGUCUCUAGCUUUGCUGGAGACUCGCCUUAAAGUAAUUGGCAGCCGGCCUACUGGUUUCGGAGCGCAGCACAAGUCGCACUCUCUAUCAGCAAAGGUCUAGCAUCCAUUAAGCCUUUUUUCAACUUUUGACCUCGGAUCAGGUAGGGAUACCCGCUGAACUUAAGCAUAUCAAUAA